UCUUAGGGUUGAGCAGAGAAAGUGGUUUCUUGAGAUGGAAUCAACUCGUGGUGAAGACGCUGUGAA
rnacentral:pre_miRNA from 1 species